rnacentral:rRNA from 1 species
UACGGAGGGUCCAAGCGUUGUCCGGAUUUAUUGGGUUUAAAGGGUACGUAGGCGGGACUUUAAGUCAGCGGUGAAAGCCUCCAGCUUAACUGGAGAAUUGCCAUUGAAACUGAAGUUCUUGAGUAUGGAUGAGGUGGUUGGAAUAUAACAUGUAGCGGUGAAAUGCUUAGAUAUGUUAUAGAACACCAAUUGCGAAGGCAGAUCACUAAACCAUUACUGACGCUGAGGUACGAAAGCGUGGGGAGCGAACAGG